rnacentral:rRNA from 1 species
UACAGAGGUCUCAAGCGUUGUUCGGAUUCAUUGGGCGUAAAGGGUGCGUAGGCGGCGCGGAAAGUUGGGUGUGAAAUCCCUCGGCUCAACCGAGGAACUGCGCCCAAAACUACCGUGCUCGAGGGAGAUAGAGGUGAGCGGAACUUAGGGUGGAGCGGUGAAAUGCGUUGAUAUCCUAAGGAACACCCGUGGCGAAAGCGGCUCACUGGGUCUCUUCUGACGCUGAGGCACGAAAGCCAGGGGAGCGAACGGG